UACGGAGGGUGCGAGCGUUGUCCGGAAUCAUUGGGCGUAAAGGGCGCGUAGGUGGCGGCUUAAGCGUGCGGUGAAAGCUCGGGGCUCAACCCCGAGUCGGCCGUGCGGACUGAGUCGCUUGAGCACUGUAGAGGCAGGCGGAAUUCCGGGUGUAGCGGUGGAAUGCGUAGAGAUCCGGAAGAACACCGGUGGCGAAGGCGGCCUGCUGGGCAGUAGCUGACACUGAGGCGCGACAGCGUGGGGAGCAAACAGG
rnacentral:rRNA from 1 species